GAAUUUAUUAAGAAUGUGUAAUAACAGUUUAUAGAAAACAUGUUUAAUAAAUAUAUAUAUAUAAAAAAAUGUAUAUUAAUAUUUGUGAUAACAAUUUUAGAAGUACCUAUUGGAAUGAAUUCAAUUGGAUGAUAAGUCUUAUUUUUGUUAAUACUCUAUCCCUGCAGGAAACAGAGCGAUAAUUGUCUUAAAGCCACUAGUUAUAUUACAAGUAGAGCUGAUAUUAGUGAAAAAGGGGUGGAUCUGCAGCACAAUGUACGAAAAUUUCCACCGACGUGUAAGAAAGUAUCACCGUGAAAUAAGGACAACACGGUAGGUGUUCUCGUAAAGCACUUCGCCUUACGUAUCUCUUGUUUUUCUGGCAACAGCAGAGAACUUAUCCAGAAAUAUAGAUUUCACUGUUCAUCAGUCCUUAUAUCAACAUUAUCUUCACUCGAUUUUGGAUUUGAACCACAGCCACCACGUGCAUCCGAAGGGACCUCUCCAAUAACCAGGAUGAGGCAAUACAGACGAGUGGUAUGUUGAAUUCACAGAACCCAUAUGUGUGAAGAGCCUACUUUAUGUUUUCAAAAAAAUAUAUGUAUGCAUAACCCCUGAUAUCAAAAUUGGUGGUGCGGAUAGAAAUCAGAAUAUCUUCAAACUUUCGACUUGCAUUGUAUUGUGCUAAAUGUAUUUACAAAAUUUUUUAUUUGAAUUGAAUUUUUAUAAAUAAAACAACAUAAAAUUUUA